rnacentral:lncRNA from 1 species
UAUUUCCACACACACCCAAAAAAAGAAAGUUGAAAAUGUUAUUGAAUUAUAAAAAAAAAAAGUUACAUUGAAUUUAUAGAUUGUGUUUGCAUAGUAGAUUCAACUUGUUGUUGAAUCUUUUAAUCUUUAAAGAUGAUAUGAAUUAAUUUCUUGUAACAACCCAUCCAGGUGGGAACCACUGCCACAUGACACACCCCGCCACAUGGCAGCUACAAGCGCUGCAGCGCAUCGACCCUAACCUCUCUCCUAUGGGCCCAAACUGCGCAGCCCACUUGCUCGCAGCCUCCUGGCCCACCAGGUAGGUUAUUGGUGCGCCUGGCGUUCCUCGAACCCAGGUCCUCACCCUUUAACAACCUUCCCACUUGACAAGUUGUUACCAAUUGAACUGUAGGUCAGUGUCUUUAAUUUUUAUUUUUAUUUCUCAUACAUGUUUUCUAUUUUUAUUUUUAAGGAUCCUACCAAGUGAUAAUUAUUCAGCCAUGGAUCUUGUAUUUAGCAUAAUUAGCUUA